rnacentral:tRNA from 1 species
UGUCCAGGGAUGGGAAUCGAACCCACAGUGUUCCGCUUACUGGGCAGAUGCCAUGUCCACUAGUUCGAUUCCCAUCCCUGGAC